AGCGAACGCUGGCGGCAGGCCUAACACAUGCAAGUCGAACGAACCUUUCGGGGUUAGUGGCGGACGGGGGUGUAACACGUGGGAACGUGCCUUUAGGUUCGGAAUAACUCAGGGAAACUUGUGCUAAUACCGAAUGUGCCCUUCGGGGGGAAGAUUAAUCGCCUUUAGAGCGGCCCGCGUCUGAUUAGCUAGUUGGUUGAGGUAAUGGCUCACCAAGGCGACGAUCAGUAGCUGGUCUGAGAGGAUGAUCAGCCACAUUGGGACUGAGACACGGCCCAAACUCCUACGGGAGGCAGCAGUGGGGAAUCUUGCGCAAUGGGGGAAAGCCUGACGCAGCCAUGCCGCGUGAAUGAUGAAGGUCUUAGGAUUGUAAAAUUCUUUCACCGGGGACGAUAAUGACGGUACCCGGAGAAGAAGCCCCGGCUAACUUCGUG
rnacentral:rRNA from 1 species